AUUGAACGCUGGCGGCAUGCCUUACACAUGCAAGUCGAACGGUAACGGGCCUUCGGGUGCCGACGAGUGGCGAACGGGUGAGUAAUGCAUCGGAACGUACCUUUCAGUGGGGGAUAACGUAGCGAAAGUUACGCUAAUACCGCAUAUUCUGUUAGCAGGAAAGCAGGGGAUCGCAAGACCUUUCGCUCAUUGAGAGGCCGAUGUAGGAUUAGCUAGUUGGGGAGGUAAAGGCUCACCAAGGCGACGAUCUGUAGCGGGUCUGAGAGGAUGAUCCGCCACACUGGGACUGAGACACGGCCCAGACUCCUACGGGAGGCAGCAGUGGGGAAUUUUGGACAAUAGGGGCAACCCUGAUCCAGCCAUGCCUCGUGAGUGAAGAAGGCCUUCGGGUUGUAAAGCUCUUUCGGCCGGGAAGAAAUCGCACAGGCUAAUACCUUGUGUGGAUGACGGUACCGGAAUAAGAAGCACCGGCUAACUACGUGCCAGCCGCCGCGGUAAUAC
rnacentral:rRNA from 1 species